GCCAUGCAUGUAUAAGUAUAAACGCUUUAAGCGUGAAACUGCGUACGGCUCAUCACAACAGCAAUAAUUUACUUGAUCUUGACAACCUACAUGGAUAACUGUGGUAAUUCUAGAGCUAAUACAUGCACCAAAGCUCCGACCCGCGAGGGGAGAGCGCAUUUAUUAGAACAAAACCAAGCGGCUUCGGCCGUCCAUUGUUGACUCAGAAUAACUAAGCUGAUCGUACGGUCUUGUACCGACGACGUGUCUUUCAAGUUUCUGCCUUAUCAACUUUCGAUGGUAGUGUAUCUGACUACCAUGGUGGCGACGGGUAACGGAGGAUAAGGGUUCGACUCCGGAGAAGGGGCCUGAGAAAUGGCCACUACGUCUAAGGAUGGCAGCAGGCGCGCAAAUUACCCACUCUCAAUGCGAGGAGGUAGUGACGAGAAAUAACGAGGCCGUUCUCUUUGAGGCCGGUCAUCGGAAUGGGUACAAUUUAAACCCUUUAACGAGUAUCUAUGAGAGGGCAAGUCUGGUGCCAGCAGCCGCGGUAAUUCCAGCUCUCAAAAUGCAUAGAAUUAUUGCUGCGGUUAAAAAGCUCGUAGUUGGAUCUGUGCCUGUGCUCCGGUCCACCUCGCGGUGCGCACUGGGUGUCACAGGCUUUCCUGCAGUGUUCAGCCCCGGCGCCUUCACCGGCACCGGUGUGUUGAUGCUGCAAGUUUACUUUGAACAAAUCGGAGUGCUCCAAACAGGCGUUUGCUUGAACGUUCGUGCAUGGAAUAAUAGAAGAGGAUUUCGGUUCAAUUUUAUUGGUUUUAUUGGCCGAGAUAAUGGUUAACAGAGACAAACGGGGGCAUUUGUAUUGCUGC
rnacentral:rRNA from 1 species